rnacentral:rRNA from 1 species
CCUACGGGAGGCUGCAGUGAGGAAUAUUGGUCAAUGGACGAGAGUCUGAACCAGCCAAGUAGCGUGAAGGAUGACUGCCCUAUGGGUUGUAAACUUCUUUUAUAAAGGAAUAAAACGAGGCACGUGUGCCUUUUUGCAUGUACUUUAUGAAUAAGGAUCGGCUAACUCCGUGCCAGCAGCCGCGGUAAUACGGAGGAUCCGAGCGUUAUCCGGAUUUAUUGGGUUUAAAGGGAGCGUAGAUGGGUUGUUAAGUCAGUUGCGAAAGUUUGCGGCUCAACCGUAAAAUUGCAAUUGAUACUGGCAGUCUUGAGUACAGUUGAGGUAGGCGGAAUUCGUGGUGUAGCGGUGAAAUGCUUAGAUAUCACGAAGAACCCCGAUUGCGAAGGCAGCUUACUAAACUGUGACUGACAUUGAUGCUCGAAAGUGUGGGUAUCAAACAGGAUUAGAUACCCUUGUAGUC